GAUGAACGCUGGCGGCGUGCCUAAUACAUGCAAGUCGAGCGAACGGACGAGAAGCUUGCUUCUCUGAUGUUAGCGGCGGACGGGUGAGUAACACGUGGAUAACCUACCUAUAAGACUGGGAUAACUUCGGGAAACCGGAGCUAAUACCGGAUAAUAUUUUGAACCGCAUGGUUCAAAAGUGAAAGACGGUCUUGCUGUCACUUAUAGAUGGAUCCGCGCUGCAUUAGCUAGUUGGUAAGGUAACGGCUUACCAAGGCAACGAUGCAUAGCCGACCUGAGAGGGUGAUCGGCCACACUGGAACUGAGACACGGUCCAGACUCCUACGGGAGGCAGCAGUAGGGAAUCUUCCGCAAUGGGCGAAAGCCUGACGGAGCAACGCCGCGUGAGUGGUGAAGGUCUUCGGAUCGUAAAACUCUGUUAUUAGGGAAGAACAUAUGUGUAAGUAACUGUGCACAUCUUGACGGUACCUAAUCAGAAAGCCACGGCUAACUACGUG
rnacentral:rRNA from 1 species